AUGGACAAGGGUCACCCAGGGUACUUCAAGUCCAUGAUCGACGCUAAGCUCCAGGAGCAGGGGUUCUUUGCUUCCCAGCACUGCGUCAACUGCGGCCAUGAGCUCGACUACAAGCCGGACAUGGUUGGGUUUCCUGCCGGUGUCAAGUUCGAUCCGACAGACCAGGAGCUGAUUGAGCACCUUGAGUCCAAGAUGAUGAAGAGAGCUCACUCCCUCAUCGAUGACUUCAUACCCACCAUUGAGGGAGAAGAUGGCAUUUGCUACACCCAUCCAGAGAAACUCCCAGGUGUGACAAGAAAUGGCCAGAGCAAACACUUUUUCCACAGACCAUCAAAGGCCUACACCACAGGCACGAGGAAGAGGAGAAAGAUCCACGCAGAGAGUGAGCUGUCCAACAGUAAAAAUGGUGCCGAGACGCGGUGGCACAAGACUGGCAAGACACGGCCGCUGAUGGUGGACGGACGGCAUAAGGGGUGCAAGAAGAUCCUAGUGUUGUACAGCAACUUUGGCAAGGCACGAAAGCCAGAAAAGACUAAUUGGGUGAUGCACCAGUACCACCUCGGCGACCUAGAGGACGAGAAGGAAGGGGAGUUGAUCGUGUCAAAGGUCUUCUAUCAGACACAGCCACGGCAGAGUGCCGCUGCCACGACAUCGACAGUAUUCCAUGAGCCUUCGACUAACGGGGAUAUGGAGGUAAAGACGCCAAAGUCAAUGAAGAUUGGGCUCACUGAUUAUGCGGUUGUCGCCGCGGCUGCCAUCCAGAUGCAGCGACAGCAGCAGCAAAUGCUGAAGCAAGGUGAUGAGAUGAACAAGGGAAAGGAGGGGCAGGACCAACAGCAGCAGAAAUUUGACCACAGGCCUGCUGGCUUGGAAGGACUAAUAAUGGCCUGCAAAUCAGCAAGUACAAAAGAAGGAACUUCAACUACUCAGCCCGAAGAUAUGCAAUGGCCUUACCAGUACUAG
rnacentral:rRNA from 1 species